rnacentral:rRNA from 1 species
UACGUAGGGGGCAAGCGUUGUCCGGAAUCAUUGGGCGUAAAGCGCGUGUAGGCGGCCAGAAAAGUCUGCCGUGAAAACCUGAGGCUCAACCUCGGGCGUGCGGUGGAUACUGCCGGGCUAGAGGACGGUAGAGGCGAGUGGAAUUCCCGGUGUAGCGGUGAAAUGCGCAGAUAUCGGGAGGAACACCAGUAGCGAAGGCGGAUCGCUGGGCCGUUCCUGACGCUGAGACGCGAAAGCUAGGGGAGCGAACAGG